rnacentral:rRNA from 1 species
UUCUCCUACGGGGCGCAGCAGUCGGGAAUAUUGCGCAAUGGAGGAAACUCUGACGCAGUGACGCCGCGUAUAGGACGAAGGUCUUCGGAUUGUAAACUAUUGUCGUUAGGGAAGAGAAAGGACAGUACCUAAGGAGGAAGCUCCGGCUAACUACGUGCCAGCAGCCGCGGUAAUACGUAGGGGGCAAGCGUUAUCCGGAAUUAUUGGGCGUAAAGAGUACGUAGGUGGCAACCUAAGCGCAGGGUUUAAGGCAAUGGCUCAACCAUUGUUCGCCCUGCGAACUGGGAGGCUUGAGUGCAGGAGAG